UCACAGCGGGUAAAGGAAAGAAUCCUGAGGACACUUCGGAUGAUCCACAAAAACUAUACUAUCACUUCAUGGGAACUACCCAGUGUAAAGACUUUGUUGUAGCUGAAUUUCCAGAUCAUCCCGAGUACUAUAUAGAAUAUCACAUAAGCAACUGCGGAAAAUAUCUGAUCAUAACGCCAUCAACAGGCUGUGGUUACACUAAUUUGGUAUACUUGGUUGAUAUAAGUCAAGGAAUCAAGGCUAAACUAGAACUUAAACCAAUUAUCACAAAAAUGGAUGCAAAAUACGAGUUUGUCGCCAACAACGAACACCAAUUCAUUUUUCGGACCAAUAACACAGCCGAGAAUUUUAAAUUAAUUUCAAUCGAUAUCACAAACCUGCAGGAUCCCAAAUCAUGGAAAGAUCUUGUACCUGCACAUGAUAAAGAUGUAUUAGAUUGGGCUUUGGCAGCACAUGAUAAAUACAUGGUCUUAUGCUACA